GACGAACGCUGGCGGCGUGCUUAACACAUGCAAGUCGAACGAUGAAGCCUUAGCUUGCUUUGGUGGAUUAGUGGCGAACGGGUGAGUAACACGUGAGCAACGUGCCCAGGACUCUGGAAUAACCGCGGGAAACCGUGGCUAAUACCGGAUAGGUGCCGAGGCCGCAUGGUCUUCGGUUGGAAAGUUUUUGCGGUUCUGGAUCGGCUCACGGCCUAUCAGCUUGUUGGUGGGGUAAUGGCCUACCAAGGCGACGACGGAUAGCCGGCCAGAGAGGGUGACCGGCCACACUGGGACUGAGACACGGCCCAGACUCCUACGGGAGGCAGAAGUGGGGAAUAUUGCACAAUGGGCGCAAGCCUGAUGCAGCAACGCCGCGUGGGGGAUGACGGCCUUCGGGUUGUAAACCUCUUGUAGUAGGGAAGAAGCGAAAGUGACGGUACCUGCAGAAAAAGCACCGGCUAACUACGUG
rnacentral:rRNA from 1 species